rnacentral:rRNA from 1 species
CGGUAAUUCCAGCUCCAAUAGCGUAUAUUUAAGUUGUUGCAGUUAAAAAGCUCGUAGUUGGACUUUGGGUUGGGUCGGCCGGUCCGCCUUCAGGUGUGCGCCGGGUUUACUCUGCUCCCUCUCUGUCGGCGAUGCGCUCCUGGCCUUAAUUGGGCGGGUCGUGCCUCCGGCGCUGUUACUUUGAAGAAAUUAGAGUGGUCAAAGCAAGCCUACGCUCUGUAUACAUUAGCAUGAUGAUAACAUCAUAGGAUUUCGGUCCUAUUACGUUGGCCUUCGGGAUCGGAGUAAUGAUUAACAGGGACAGUCGGGGGCAUUCCUAUUUCAUAGGCAGAGGUGAAAUUCUUGGAUUUAUGAGAGACAAACAACUGCGAAAGCAUUUGCCAAGGAUGUUUUCAUUAAUCAAGAACGAAAGUUGGGGGCUCGAAAACAAUCAGAUACCGUCCUAGUUUCAACCAUAAACGAUGCCGACCAGGGAUCAGCGGAUGUUGCUUUUAGGACUCCGCUGGCACCUUAUGAGAAAUCAAAGUUUUUGGGUUCCGGGGGGAGUAUGGUCGCAAGGCUGAAACUUAAAGGAAUUGACGGAAGGGCACCACCAGGAGUGGAGCCUGCGGCUUAAUUUGACUCAACACGGGGAAACUUACCAGCUCCAGACAUAGUAAGGAUCGACAGACUGAGAGCUCUUUCUUGAUUCUAUGGGUGGUGGAGCAUGGCCGUUAUUAGUUGGAGGAGCGAUUUGUCUGGUUAAUUCCGUUAACGAACGAGACCUCAGCCUGCUAACUAGCUAUGAGGAGGUAUCCCUCCACGGCCAGUUUCUUAGAGGGACUAUGUCCUCAUAGGCCACGGAAGUUUGAGCCAAUACCAGGUCUGUGAUGCCCUUAGAUGUUUUGGGCCGCCCGCGCGCUCCACUGAUGUAUUCAACGAGUAUAUACCCUUGGCCGACAGGCCCGGGAAAUCUUUGAAAUUUCAUCGUGAUGGGGAUAGAUCAUUGCAAUUGUUGGUCCUCAACGAGGAAUUCCUAGUAAGCGCGAGUCAUCAGCUCGCGUUGACUACGUCCCUGCUCUUUGUACACGCCGCCC